GACGGGCCCCGCACAAGCAGCGGAGCGUGUGGUUUAAUUCGAUGCUACACGAAGAACCUUACCAGGGUUUGACAUACAAGUAGUAGGGAAAGGAAACUGGACCGACCCUUCGGGGAGCUUGAACAGGUGCUGCAUGGCUGUCGUCAGCUCGUGUCGUGAGAUGUUCGGUUAAGUCCGCUAACGAGCGCAACCCUCGCUGUGUGUUACAAGUGUCACACGGAACUGCCGGUCAUAAACCGGAGGAAGGUGGGGAUGACGUCAAGUCAGCAUGGCCUUUAUAUCCUGGGCUACACACACGCUACAACGGGAAGGGACAAUAGGUUGCGAAACCGCGAGGUGGAGCCAAUCCAGCAAAACUUCCCUCAGUUCAGAUUGCAGGCUGCAACUCGCCUGCAUGAAGUUGGAGUUGCUAGUAAACGCAGGUCAGCCAUACUGCGUUGAAUACGUUCCCGGGGCUU
rnacentral:rRNA from 1 species